AUCUCUGAGACAAGACUGAACAGCCUGUUAUGGCAUCUGCUUGGUCCUUUCAGGCAUUGUUCCAGCUAGAGCCUGGACUCCUGAGAUUCCUACAAUGCUAACAAGCUGGAUUUAGCCACUCUUGUCAAUACAUAAAGACACAGGUUCAUCUUUAUCUCUUCAUCCACAUGUCUCCUCCACCAACUCAAAGUUGAGGCUGAGUCACUUAGACUCCAGUUCAAAUGACUGGAGGAAAACCAGAUCCCUUUGGUCACCAAUCAUCACUUCCUUCUCCAGAAGAAAAAUCAAGAAUGACUUCAGUGAGAGUGGACCCAGCAUGGCCUCCUGGCAAGUCGCCCAGCAGGUCCGGUCUGCUUAACCAUGUGAAAGCAUUCCACAUCAGCCCUUUUUCUCUGUACCCUCACUCCCUCUACCCCAGUCCAAGGUACCAUCUCAAGCUGACAAAACUUGGGCCAUGGGUGCAGGUUGAUGGUAGAGCACUUUCCUAGCUCUGAAUUCAAUCCUCUGCACCACAAAAACAAAGUUCUGUACAUUUCACAGUAGCUUCUCUGUCUCUGAACUACUGAAUUCCCCAUCCGUAUUCAGAAUCACUCAGAUGAACUAGAACUCAGGUCACAUCCUGACCUAAAACACUCCACUUGUUUUUGUUUGUUUUUAAAGACAGGGUCUUGGGGCUGGAGAGAUGGCUUGAUGGUUAAAAGCACUUACUGCUUUUGCAGAGGACCCCAAUUGAGUUCCCGAUAUCCUUGUAGGGUGCUCACAACCACCUGCAACUUUAGCU